CCUACGGGAGGCUGCAGUGGGGAAUAUUGGGCAAUGGAGGAAACUCUGACCCAGCAACGCCGCGUGAAUGAUGAAGGUCUUCGGAUUGUAAAGUUCUUUUCUAAGGGAAGAAGAAAGUGACGGUACCUUAGGAAUAAGCCUCGGCUAACUACGUGCCAGCAGCCGCGGUAAUAUGUAGGAGGCGAGCGUUAUCCGGAAUGACUGGGCGUAAAGGGGGCGUAGGUGGUUUUGCAAGUCAGUAGAGUAACCCCAAGGCUCAACCUUGGAACUACUACUAAAACUGCUGGACUUGAGUGCAGGAGGGGCAACCGGAAUUCCUAGUGUAGCGGUGGAAUGCGUAGAUAUUAGGAGGAACACCAGUGGCGAAGGCGGGUUGCUAGACUGUAACUGACACUGAGGCACGAAAGCGUGGGGAGCAAACAGGAUUAGAUACCCGAGUAGUC
rnacentral:rRNA from 1 species